GUUCUGUAACACUCGUGAUGAGACCUCA
rnacentral:rRNA from 1 species